UGGGGAAUCUUGCGCAAUGGGCGAAAGCCUGACGCAGCAACGCCGCGUGGAGGACGAAGGCCUUUUCGGUUGUAAACUCCUUUCAGCAGGAACGAUUGUGACGGUACCUGCAGAAGAAGCCCCGGCCAACUACGUGCCAGCAGCCGCGGUAAUACGUAGGGGGCGAGCGUUGUCCGGAUUCAUUGGGCGUAAAGAGCUCGUAGGCGGCUUGGUCAGUCGGGUGUGAAAUCUCCAGGCUCAACCUGGAGUCGCCAUCCGAUACUGCCAUGGCUAGAGUCCGGUAGGGGACCGUGGAAUUCCUGGUGUAGCGGUGAAAUGCACAGAUAUCAGGAGGAACACCGGUGGCGAAGGCGGCGGUCUGGGCCGGAACUGACGCUGAGGAGCGAAAGCGUGGGGAGCGAACAGG
rnacentral:rRNA from 1 species